UUUGUAUUUCAUUGUCAGACGUGAAAUUCUUGGAUUUAUGAAAGACUAACUUCUGCGAAAGCAUUUGGCAAGGAUGUUUUCAUUGACAAAGAGCGAUAGUUGGGGGAGCAAAAAUGAUUAGAUACCGUUGUAGUCCCAACCGUAAACUAUGCCGACUAGGGAUCGGGCAACCUCAAUUAUGAUGUGUUGUUCGGCACCUUACGAGAAAUCAAAGUCUUUGGGUUCCAG
rnacentral:rRNA from 1 species